rnacentral:rRNA from 1 species
CCUGGUUGAUCCUGCAAGUAGUCAUAUGCUUGUCUCAAAGAUUAAGCCAUGCGUGUGUAAGUAUGAACUAAUUCAAACUGUGAAACUACAAAUGGCUCAUUAAAUCAGUUAUAGUUUGUUUGAUUGUACUUGCUACUCGGAUAACCAUAGUAAUUCUAGAGCUAAUAUGUGCAACAAACCCCGACUUCUGGAAGGGAUGCAUUUAUUAGAUAAAAGGUCGCGCAGACCUAGUCCAUUGCUCCGAUGAUUCAUGAUAACUUGACGGAUCGCACGGUCGUUGUGCUGGCGACGCAUCAUUCAAAUUUCUGCCCUAUCAACUUUCGAUGGUAGGAUAGUGACCUACUAUGGUGGUGAUGAGUGAUGGAGAAUUAGUGUUUGAUUCCAGAGAGGGAGCUUGAGAAACGGCUACCACAUCCAAGGAAGGCAGCAGGCGCGCAAAUUUCCCAAUCCUGACACGAGGAGGUAGUGACAAUAAAUAACAAUACCGGGAUUUUCGAGUCUAGUAAUUGGAAUGAGUACAAUCUAAAUCCCUUAACGAGGAUCCAUUGGAGGGCAAGUCUUGUGCCAGCAGCCGCGGUAAUUCCAGCUGCAAUAGCGUAUAUUUAAGUUGUUGCAGUUAAAAAGCUCGUAGUUGGAUCUCGGGAUAUGUUUGUCGGUCCGCCUUAUGGUGUGCACCGUCAGUCGCGUCCUUUCUACCGGCGAUGCGUUCCUGGCCUUAAUUGGCCGGGUCGUUCCUCUGGCGCUAUUACUUUGAAGAAAUUAGAGUACUCAAAGCAAGCCUUCGCUCUGUAUACAUUAGCAUGGGAUAAUGUCAUCGAAUUUUGAUCCUAUUCUGUUGGCCUUUGGGAUCAGAGUAAUGAUUAACAGGGACAGUCGGUGACAUUUGUAUUUUAUAGUCAGAGGUGAAUUUCAUGGAUUUAUGAAAGACGAACAACUGCAAAAGCAUUUCCCAAGGAUGUUUUCACUAAUGAAGAACGAAAGUUGGGGGCUCGAAGACGAUCAGAUACUGUCGUAGUCUCAACCAUAAACGAUGCCGACUUGGGAUCGGCGAAUGCUGCUUAUAGGAAAUCACCGGCACCUUCUUAGAAUUCAAAGUCUUUGGGUUCCGAGGGGAGUAUGGUCGCAAGGCUGAAACUUAAAGGAAUUGACGGAAGGGUACCACCAGGAGUGGAGCCUACGGCUUAAUUUACUCAACACGGGGAUACUUACCAGGUCUAGACAUAGAAAGGAUUGACAGACUGAGAGCUCUUUUCUUUUUAUAAGUAUGUUUAAAUAAAAGAAAAGGGUGAACAAAGACAUGCGGCCGCAGUCGGGGGGCAGACCCACAUGUAGACGCGCCAGCCAACAGCCACAACUGAGCGCAAGCCGGACCUAUUGGUACUAGAAGGCCAAAGGAUGCUCCAGAUUCUCCACAAGUGUUGGGAAAAUUUGGAAAAGGAUCUAGAAAAUCUUCCUCUCAAUGGAUGUCGCGAGUUGGCUAGGUGAUUGGAAAGUCUUGUCAAAACAGCGUGCGUUGUGCGCCGACUAAAGGUGAUAGGUUGUGCAUGCCAGGGCGGUCUUGUACAUGUUGCCGCAAAGUUUCUCCCUUCGGCAAGUUUUGGUCAUCCAUUUGAGAGCAGCAGCAAUGGUAGUCAACUGCCGUUGGAUGCCAAAAUGUGAUUUAAUGAUGGUCCAGACUUCGGAUGAGAAGCUGCAUUGGAAGUAGAUGUGCCUGGUUGAUUCUGGAUGGGUUCCACAUAAGGCACACAUGCCAUCUGAUUCAAUGA